CAAAAAUUGAAUAACUGUAUAUGAAUACAAUAUCAAAAGGUAAUUAACUUUUGUGUAUUGGACAGUUCAAAAAAAAAGUUAGUAAACUGAAAACAAAGAGAAAUUUUAAAUACACACCUCUAAUCUCUUAAUACACACCUCUGUUAUUUUAUAUUUCAUAUCAGAUUUUAUAGGUAUGUUUAAUUACAAAAACAUCCAUAAAUUAUUAGGGGAAAAAAAAACUUUCUCUUUCUUAAAACUUAACUCUUCUCCACUAUUACUACGCAUCAAAAUAAAAGAAAUAAAAAUCUCUUCUCUAAAUUUCAUCACUUGAAUUUCAAUUACUGUCGUAAUCACAUGUACACUAUUUACCGAUUCAUUUGGUUUUGUUUUUUUAUCAACUUUAGUUUUUAUCUUGCAGACUAAAAACUAGUUUUUAUGCUAUUGUACUUUUACUAGUUUCUCAACUUUGAAAAAAUUAUGUAUGUUCAAUAUUUUUUUUCCUCAAAUUCGAGCCGAUUGAUGUUAUAUUGGAGAUUUGAAGUUCAAAUAUAAUAUUACUUUUUUUUAUUAUAAAUUGAAAAAUAUCAAGAAAAAAUUUCUAACCCGAUCAAAAAAAUCUAAUAGAAAAUAAAAAAGAAUACGUAAAGAGAGGUGUGAAAUAGUAAAUAUAUUGAGGGUAUUUUAGGCAGUUUGAGAUGUGUAUUUAGUAUAAUAUUGAAAUGAAAAACUAAAUUGGUAGUGUAUUAAGUAAGGGGUGUGUAUUAAGAAAUUAAGGGUGUGUAUUUAAAAUUUCUCGAAAACAAAAUAUGAAAUUUGGAAUUCAUUAAAUACAUAGAGAAAUAAUAUAUUGAAAUAAGUUAAUCAAUGACAAAGUAUUUGUACAUAAUA
rnacentral:lncRNA from 1 species